AUUUUGUCUGUUCUUUGUAUGUAUCACGUAAGGAAAACAAAUUAGUGAGUCAUCUUAGAACUUGUAAACAUUCACUUGCACUAAUAGAUGUAAGUGUAAUGAUGCUAACCAAUGCAGAUGAUUUUCAUUACUCUUUCCUCCCACCAAAGGCUUGAAGUCAUGGCAAGUUAAGCUUAAGAUUCUCAAGAUUCCCCACAACAUAGCAGCAAUGCUUUAGAGAGUUUGUGCAGCUUGUUAUGAGGGAUGCCAUGCAUGGUUCUUGCAGUGUAUAUUUUCAUUUCGUCUGAAUACUUGGCACACUCUAACAGUAAACAGAGGUCUAGGAGAAAGAUUUAACUUGUGAAGGGAGAGAUUUAAAGGAGACUUGAAGGACUAACUUUUCACACAAAGCAUCGGUGGAGCUGCCUGAGAAGGUGGCAGAGGUGGAUACAUUAACAACGUUUAGGAGACAUUUGGACAGGAAGCAAGUUGAAGAAUCGCCACAGAACAGCGGAAGGACAGUGAUAAAAAUGCAGGGGAUAUGGAGGGAUAUGGCAUCCUCCAUUAUGUCUACAAACCCAUCAUAACCCAUCAAACUAGCUUGCCGGCUCCUAUGCCAUCCGUGGUCACCAACUAUUGCAAAAUGCAUGCAGAUCAAGAAGUCUGUAUUUGUCGCGCACAGCUCAAAACAUAUUUUAAUAAAAGGUUGGAAUUGUAAAAGUUGAGAGAGUUAA